rnacentral:rRNA from 1 species
GACCGCGAGGCAGAGCAAAGCCCUAAAAGUACGUCUCAGUUCGGAUUGCAGGCUGCAACUCGCCUGCAUGAAGUCGGAAUUGCUAGUAAUCGCAGAUCAGCAUGCUGCGGUGAAUACGUUCCCGGGCCUUGUACACACCGCCCGUCGCACCAUGGGAGUCGGUAACACCCGAAGUCGGUAGCCUAACCGUAAGGAGGGCGCCGCCGAAGGUGGGAUUGAUGACUGGGGUGAAGUCGUAACAAGGUAAC